GGAUGAACGCUGGCGGCGUGCCUAAUACAUGCAAGUCGAACGAACUUCCGUUAAUUGAUUAUGACGUGCUUGCACUGAAUGAGAUUUUAACACGAAGUGAGUGGCGGACGGGUGAGUAACACGUGGGUAACCUGCCCAGAAGCAGGGGAUAACACCUGGAAACAGAUGCUAAUACCGUAUAACAGAGAAAACCGCCUGGUUUUCUUUUAAAAGAUGGCUCUGCUAUCACUUCUGGAUGGACCCGCGGCGCAUUAGCUAGUUGGUGAGGUAACGGCUCACCAAGGCGAUGAUGCGUAGCCGACCUGAGAGGGUAAUCGGCCACAUUGGGACUGAGACACGGCCCAGACUCCUACGGGAGGCAGCAGUAGGGAAUCUUCCACAAUGGACGCAAGUCUGAUGGAGCAACGCCGCGUGAGUGAAGAAGGGUUUCGGCUCGUAAAGCUCUGUUGUUAAAGAAGAACGUGGGUGAGAGUAACUAUUCACCCAGUGACGGUAUUUAACCAGAAAGCCACGGCUAACUACGUGCCAGCAGCCGCGGUAAUACGUAGGUGGCAAGCGUUAUCCGGAUUUAUUGGGCGUAAAGCGAGCGCAGGCGGUCUUUUAAGUCUAAUGUGAAAGCCUUCGGCUCAACCGAAGAAGUGCAUUGGAAACUGGGAGACUUGAGUGCAGAAGAGGACAGUGGAACUCCAUGUGUAGCGGUGAAAUGCGUAGAUAUAUGGAAGAACACCAGUGGCGAAGGCGGCUGUCUGGUCUGUAACUGACGCUGAGGCUCGAAAGCAUGGGUAGCGAACAGGAUUAGAUACCCUGGUAGUCCAUGCCGUAAACGAUGAUUACUAAGUGUUGGAGGGUUUCCGCCCUUCAGUGCUGCAGCUAACGCAUUAGUAAUCCGCCUGGGGAGUACGACCGCAAGGUUGAAACUCAUAAGAUUUGACGGGGGCCGCCCAAGCCGUGGAGCAUGUGGUUUAAUUCAAGCUACCCAAGAACCUACCAUGUCUUGACUCUUUGCC
rnacentral:rRNA from 1 species